UCUCCAGUUCGGGCCUAAGGAGGAAUCACAUUUCUCCGUGCUUCUGCUUCCGAGGACAAUAUUAGGUAAACUGAGAGGCAGAAAGAGAAUUCCAGAGUCGGGCAGAGUUACGGAUAGAAGAGCUUCAAGUUCUCAGGCUGGAAGCGACCUUCACAGACUAUCUUAUCCCUAAUCGGACUGCCAGGUGGGGCCACGUAGAAUGCAGCCGCGUGUUUUCCUUAGGUCUGCCGUGUUCUCCUCCGAAGUGUUCUCGUUGAGAAGGUAAACUUGCUUAAAUACCUUUCCUUUUUUUUUUCUUUUUUCUUUUUUUCCCUUCUUUUGUCUUUUCAGGGCUGCACCUGCAAUAUAUGGAAGUUCCCAAGCCACGGGUUGAAUGAGAGCUGCAGCUGCCAGCCUACAUCACAGCCACAGCAACACCAGAUCUGAGCUGCAUCUGCGACUUACACCUGAGCUUGCGGCAACACCGAAUCCUUAACCCACUGAACAAGGCCAGGGAUUGAACUCCCAUCCCUGUGGAUACCAGUUGGGUUCUUCACCCACUGAGCCACAAUGGGAACUCCUCAAAUAUUUUUCAAUGAAUGGUUUUACUUUUUCUUGGAGUUAAUAUUUGCUAUUCUUGAAAUAAUGGACAUUAAUACUAUUAUAAUUACUUUCAACAAAACAAACCAAACAGGGUGACCCAGAGCAAGACUUGAGGGCCUCUUGGACAAAGCUUCCUCACCCUGGCACGCUGGCCCCACCAUCCCCUCCCUCCAGAGUAUGGCUCCAAUAUAUCUUUUUCAUUGAUAGGGUCUGCUAUAGCCCCGCCAAUUUCCUAUAAUUCAGAUAAAAAAGGAAACAGUAUAAAACCCAAUAUUUGUUUAAUAUUGUUUAGCUCAUAGAAUGUAAGUUUUUCAAUAUACGUCUCCUUUAACCACAGCAAAAGCCUUAAGCUUUGGGCAGUAUUUGCUUUCAUUUAUUUUUUAAUACAUAAAGUGGCGGUAGAGGAGCUGCAGCUUUGCUCAGCAUCAUAAAGCUAAUAUGUGAGGAAGCCAGAAUUUUGAUAUUGAAUUUUGUGCUCACCUUACAGUAAUCUGUUACCCCUAAGCUGUGUACCCAUUCAUCCCUGGGGACGGUCUGAGUUGAAUCUCUUGGUUUUGAUAUCAGACUCCCUUCUCCAGGAAGGCCCAUCUUCUUCCCUCUCCUUCCAUCUCUUAAAAUUCCAUCUAUCUUUCAAGGUUUGGAUGUAAAUUUCUUCUUAAUCCCUUUGAGGCUUAUAUGCUCUCUCUGUCUUUGUCUCUCUCUCGCUCCUGAAACAGCAGAGGGUGUCCUGUGCCUUGCAGGGCACUCAUCAUUUUCUACCUUGUGUUGUGUUAUUCGACGUACGCUUAUCUUACUGGCAGAGCCUAUGUCUCACUCAUUUUUCUUUUUCUUUUUUGCUUUUUCAGGCUGCACUUAUGGCAUAUGAAAGUUCCUGGACUAAGGGUUGAAUCAGAGUUACAGCUGCUGGCCUAUACCACAGCCACAGCAACAUGGGAUCUGAGCUGCGUCUGCAACCUACACCACAGCUCACUACAACGCAGGAUCCUUAACCUACUGAGCAAGGCCAGGGAUUGAACCCAAGUCCUCAUGGAUACUGGUCGGAUUCGCUUCUGCUUCAUCACAACAGAACUCCCUCACUUAUCUUUCUUGUAUCUUCCAAGUUGCAAGCACACUAGCACAUAGUAGGUGCUGUGAUUAAUGGAUGUUUGGGGAAUGGCAUGGACCCUUGCUUAAUAUAAUCCCAAGACCGGCCUUCUCUCUGAAAGGGUUCUUUCUUUAUAAUAGAAACUUCCUAUGGGAAGUGGAAACCACUUUUCUAAUAAGUAGACAGAUUCAUGUGAAGGGUAGAAAUAAAAUAACACUGCUAAUAGUCAUAAUCAGUGACAUCAUAAUAGUGGUAAUCUUAUAACCUUGAAUUAUAAGGUUCUUCCCUUUCAGAUUAUAAUAAUUCUUACCAGUCUCCCUUAUUUUCCCAACACGUCUGUAAGCCAAGGAAAGGGUUGUCAGUGCAGUAUUCACAAUGGAAAUUAAGAAUGGGAACUUUGGACUCCCAGCUGUGUUUGAGGGCCAGCUUCUCCGCUUAUUUGAACAGGUUAUUUAGCCGCCCGAGAGCUCAGGUCACCUCUCUACCCUUUACAAAAUAGAGAUAAUAAAAUGACAACAUUUGCAGGCUCCUUGUAAGAACAACUGCAGUUCAGUGGGCAGCGUUCUUGGCACAGCCUCCGUGCAUAGUAAGCACUCAUUCAGUGCUAUCAGUAAUUAUUGUUAUGAGGGAGACCUAAGACCCAAGAUGAUUCAGGGACUUGCUCAAGAUGGUGUAAUGACAUGUAAUGAGAAUUUGAGUGUUUGCUUCCUGGGUUACGUUAUCAUCUCCCACUGCCCCUUAACGGUGCUCCAUCCGCCGUAGCCCUGUGUAAUAGAGUUUUGCUGGCUUUGGUCCUUAAUUCCUGGGAGGUAGCCUCUAUAUCUUUGGCAUUUCCCAAGUAAUGGGAGUGUCUUUGUUAUUCAUGGUGGACCUUCAUAGGUUAUGUUUACUAGGUAGUUUAUGCUGGGGAAAUGGGUUAUAUGCUAAUAGUAUAUGCUAAGUUAUAGGUUAUGAAUUAUGCUAAGGAAAAAAAUUUAGUCUGGGAGCUGACAGCGGUGGAAAGAGCAACCAUAAACCAUGUGAUUAGCGGAUUGGGACUUUGAGCCACCAUGACGUCAGACUCACCCCAGGAAGGGAGCGGGGCGGGGGUGGAGAUUGAGUCACGUGAUCAGUGACUUAAUGGUGCCCAUGCAAUGAAACCCAAACACAGACUAGGGACAGGCUGCUCAGGUGGUCUUCCUCGGUGGGCAGUACUCACAUACCCAUGUGUCUGGAGGGGCAUGUCCUGAACCCACAGGGAGAGGACAAAGGUAGCUUUGCAUCUGCAACCCUCCCAGACGUUGCAGUCUGGGUCUCCCUCUGGCUGGUUCUGAUUUUUAUCCUUUUGCUAUGAUACAAUGGUGAUCAUUAGAAUAGUCCUUUUUGAGUUCUGUGUAUCAUUCUAGCCUAUUGUUGAACCUGAGGGGAAACCCUGAAUUUGUAGCCAGUUGGUCAGACGUGAGGGAGGCCCGGGGAUCUUGGAAUUUGUGGCCGUUGUCCAAAGUGAGGGCCAUCGGGGUUGGAGGACUUUGUCUUUGUCCUGUGAAGUUUGCCCUGGCUCCGCUCAGGGUAGCUGGUGUCAGGAAUUUUGCUGUCCCUUCAUCCAGAACCUCAACACGUUUCAGUGUUUUAUAAGGUACACACAUUGCCAUCUCAGACGCAAAAUUGAGAACUGUUUAAAAUCUAAAUUUUUAUUUCUUGUUUAUUUUCAAUGCAUGAUUUUUUUUUUUUUUCUCUUUUUCCACCACCCCUGGGGCAUAUGGAAGUUCCCGGGCCAGGGAUCAGAUUUGAGCUGGAGCUGCAACCUAUGCGACAGCUACAGCAAGGCUGGAUCCUCAACCCACUGGUCCAGCCAAGGUUUGAACCUGGGCCUCCACAGAGACAAGCCAGGCCAUUAACCUACGGAACCAUAGCGGGAAUUCCCUCAAUGCGUAUAUUGACAUGUGACCCCGUUGGCCCUGUACAGUUGAGCAUUUAGAUAACGAUUGUAUUGACAUUACAAAAAAAAAAAAAACUGAAAAAUUAUUUAUAUCUAUGAUGCACGCUUUUCUUUCCAAAAACACUUCUCCAGCCUCCAAACAAAUUAAUUCAUCUGCACAGCGAGAGGAGGAAACCAAGCAGAGGCCUCCACCGUGAGGGACACGGAAGGGACCUCUGCCCGGACAGCCGGAGUGGCUUUCCACACCCUGCUGGAAUACCUCUCUUGCCAACAAUAUGGCAAUUAUCAUUAGCACCCUGCCGCAACUCAGGGCUUCAAACCCACCCAAAUCUAUUUGCAGCGUUUCACAACUUACACAUAGCAUCUCUCGUCUCUAGGUAGCUGCCCCCUGUCUGCGCCACUGGCCCUAAUGUAUUUAGAUAGAUUCUUCUUCCGUGAGGCAGAGCCCACGUCCAUUAGAUUCAUGCGUGUCUGCUUCAAAACCUCCCUUCAUCUCCCGGGUACUCUUUGGGCCUUUCCAGUUGUGUUCACUAACCUUGGACGUGGGUAUUGAGGAGCGAUGCUAAUGUGCUCAAAUUGCUUCGCAGCCUUUUCUCCUGGCUUGUGCCGGCAGGCAAAGGCAAGAAAGACCAAUUAAGCCCGAGAGCCAUUUUGCAAAUGCUCUUUCUCUUAAAGCAGGGAGCGUCUGACGGCGAACCCAAGUGGAAAAGAGGCCGGAUCGCCCUGUGGAUGUGUCAGGCAUAUGUUGACGCUUUUCUUUCUGAGGAUCUAAUCUUUUAGAGUGGGCAUUAGGUGAUGCUUUCAAUGUAGUAUU
rnacentral:lncRNA from 1 species